GCGUGGGUGGCUCAAUUGGUUAAGCUUCUGACUUUGGCUCAGGUCAUGAUCUCAUGGUUUGUGGGUUCGAGCCCUGCCUCAGGCU
rnacentral:tRNA from 1 species